GAAGCAAACGGGUGCAUGUCGCCUGUAUGGUCAGUCGUUGAGGCUGUUCUCGUGAAGAAUGACAAGAUUUGCCGGCUACAAAAGAUAUGAAGAUCAGCAGCUGUUUAUUCAAAAGCGUUGAGCUGAAAAGUUGUUUGGAGGAUUCGAUCAAAGAUGGUUCCUGGAGUAAAAUUAUGGCAACUGUUAAUUCUCGACGUCUUUGGCUUUACGAGUAUGUCUUUACGAGGUAAGGUUAUAUCAAGCGUAGAAAUUUGUAGUGAUAAAUAUGGGUGCCAAUGCUGUCUGGUUAAGAGUCCUCUAUAAGAAUGUAGUUAAAAGCUUGGAAAAACUGUGAUAUGCCUUGAGCAAGUGACACCCACUGAAAGACACGGUUCCUUUUGAUACUUUUUUGAGUCUUUGUAGUAUACCAUCAUAAUGAGAGUGAAGUUUGACUAUUCCCAUUUGGUAUACGUU